AACGAUCUUAUCUUUUCGUAAAGGUACCAUUUCCUUUCAGUUGACAUACCCUUUGGUGGUAAUAUAUUAGGUAGUUCAUCUUCCAUUAUUUGAGCGUCCUCCUUCAGCAAAUUGAAUUGUGUGACUGGACCAUCUACAGCUUGUCUGGCUGCAACUACACCAGCAAAGUAACUACACCAGUCAAGUGUUUCUACAAUGAGUUCACCAUUGCUACUUCCUACUGGUUGGGCUUUGUUUACAGCUGAUUAUUGUUCUACAACUUGAAUAAAGUCAUCCAAUGAGUCCACCUCUGCUUUACAGAAUUUUUGCUUUAAUAGUCCGAAGCACCAGUCUGGAGAAAAUUUUGUGUCCAACUGGCAGAAAGGAUAUUGAAAUGGACGCAUUGAGUCCUGUCAUGACUCUCCAUAAGAGUUGUCAGCAUUGAAAUGGAUACUGACUGAGUUGAGGCCAUGAUUCUUCAAAUAAAAAUGUACCAUGCUUAUGACAGGAUUUGCCCCUUUACCA